CUGUUGUUAGGGAAGAACAAGUACCAGAGUAACUGCUGGUACCUUGACGGUACCUAACCAGAAAGCCACGGCUAACUACGUGCCAGCAGCCGCGGUAAUACGUAGGUGGCAAGCGUUGUCCGGAAUUAUUGGGCGUAAAGCGCGCGCAGGUGGUUCCUUAAGUCUGAUGUGAAAGCCCACGGCUCAACCGUGGAGGGUCAUUGGAAACUGGGGAACUUGAGUGCAGAAGAGGAAAGUGGAAUUCCAAGUGUAGCGGUGAAAUGCGUAGAGAUUUGGAGGAACACCAGUGGCGAAGGCGACUUUCUGGUCUGUAACUGACACUGAGGCGCGAAAGC
rnacentral:rRNA from 2 species